UAGGUGGGGCUAGCAACCGUGGCAAAA
rnacentral:piRNA from 1 species